CUCCGCUCCUCUCGCUCUCCAAUGUCCACGUGAUGCCGCCUAGAUCGGAGGAAUCAGAGGUCACCGCUCCGCCAUGUUCCGUUCACGAGCCGAAACAACAAGCACCAAUGGCCGCUCCACAGCCGGAGGUCAACAGAGGUGCCGCAUGAACGACAGCGAAGCUGAAGGCCGCCAGCGCCGGCCGACCCGGUGUGAGAGGAAACAGGCAGGUUCUCGGGGACAUCCGCAACGUCGUCCACGCCCCACGUCCUCGACGAGUGAGAAAAUCAGCACAAUGAUCGAAUACUCGACCGGUUCCACACCACCGGGUGCGCUCCCUUCACAAGGAUCGAACCUCGCGGCGGCGGGAGGCGGUGGUAGACUCCGUCGUCGUGGUCCGCUUGCCUCAUCGUCCGAUCCCAUUCGCUUCAAGGUCACUGCGUCCGGCCGUCGGUCCCCCGCGAUCAACAUCACCCACGUCCUCACCCACGCGCGCGGGGUUCAACAUGCCGCUCGAGGCCGACAAGCGCGGCACCGGCAUCACCAUCUUCGUCCCCAUCGACGAUGCCUUCGCCGGCCUCCCUCCCCGUGUCGCGAUUCCACGUGAUGCACUCCUACUACCGGCUCGGCUCCCUCGAGUCCAUCAAGAACCCCGUCCAGCCCAUGUUUGCCAUCGAGUGCACCGAGGUCGACUGCUUUGUGCCUCCGUCGAUGUGUCUUCUAGUUCUAGGUGGAGCAAACAUAAAUGACAGGGUCGAUGGCGACGGAGCCAUUGAAUCGUGUGAUGUUGAGCCUAAAGCAGCUGGACUCUGCAAUCGUGACGUUGGACGCUGCAGAAGAGAAGACCGCAUAGCCGGAGUUUGAGAUGCAGAGGAGAGGACGUCAUAGCCGGCGUUCGAGAUGAAGAAGGUGGGAACCACAUCAUCACUGCAAUGUUGUGCUAUUUACGAUUUGCAGGUUGAUGAAGCUCCCAGGUGAUUGGUAAUGCAUGCCAAUUACUAUUUGCAGGUUAGGUACGACUUUCACUAAUUGUAAUAGAAAUGGUAAUAGUUUUAAGCAGGAGUUGAAGCUACCUUUUGGUUGUCAGUUUAAAUUUUACUAAUCUGUAACUGAAAUUGCAACUACUGUAUUAGGUGACAGCUCGUGAGAGACGGGUCGACAAUGGAUUGAUUAGUGUUACCAUCCUUUGGUUCUGAAGCAAUUCGUGAGGCAUCUCUGACCAGAACAAUCUGGUGCCUACCGAGAUGCCAUGUUACUAGACAAGUAUAAACACUGGGAUUAUCUCCAGUCAUGUGUUGCAGCUUCUACCAUGCUCCACCCAACCAAAAUUAGUCAUGUUACUAGGCAAGUAUAAACACUGUGAUUAUCUACAUUUGUUGCAGCUUCUACCAUGUUCCAGUGAACCAAAAUGAGCACAGUCAUUAAUGGAUGAUACUUUUAUAGAUCAAUAAUUUAUGUCCUUGGUUGUGCACUGAUUUAGUCAUAUUUUAUUUUCUAAUGGCAAUUCAUCCCAACUUUUCAGCUGAGCCCCACUGCAUUUUUAUCCCAAAUAUCCAUCAUCGAUUAUUUUGUCCAAAGAUUUAUUGCAUUUAUGGGAAAAAUCACUCCAUUUUAAUUCUAUUAACCAUAGAUUAAUCCACUUCAAUUAGUAACAACAUCCUAAGCUAAAAUUGUUGCGGUUUGGUCUGAGACUAGAGUCCCAUUUUUUGUCCACAAUGGAUUCAUUGAUCAUUACUUCUGUUCCACAGUUUCAGGUAAUUAUUUGGCAAUGCAAAAUGAGUAUGUUUGUCAUGUUGACCUGGCUUCCAUUUCUCACAUUGUUGUCUUUGACAACAUAUUUGGACGCUGCAUGAAUAUACAAGUGAUGGUCAGAGUAAUUGUUGUGGAGAAAUAGAAUUGCAUUGGUUUUUCUGUGUCCAAACCCUCUUAUUACAUUUGGUGAUAUUUUAGAAUGAUGGGUAAAAUGUAGCUCUGAUUAGUUCCGGGUUUUAGAAUUGAUAUUUAUAAUAUGCAUAUUUCAUUUUUUACAUUUAAAUUGGCAUGUGACAUAUAUAUACAAAAUCAUGUUCUGCUACUUAUAAGUCAUGACUUGAUUUUAGGUUGUGUCUUCCUUUGUUUCACAACACUUUGAACUUUGUGGCAUUACUUCAUUUAUUAGGUUGAUGUACUAUUCUCUUCUUAAUAUAUCUAUACACGGAGUUCUCCUCCAUGUUCUUGGAAAAAAGGAAACGUGCUUUCGCUGCAUUCGAGAAUUGCAUUUUAAAAUAAACUUUCAACCAUUAUUUUUAAGCAGAAAUUCAGUGAUCUAUAUGCAAACAAUUUCUCUGUUUUUAAUAAUCUUGCAGGAUAUCAGAGAACAGAUGGCACAUUGGCCACAUCCCCAGUAAAUGUUUCAAUCAUACUAAAUCGUCAAUGGUUUCUAAUUUCGGAUAUUGAAAAAUGCUACUAUCUCAUGUAAUAUAAGAGUAUUGAUUAACCCAUUUUCUGUUUCUAAGCUAUCUAUAUUUUCCUUAGCUAUUUUGAUGUUAUGCUUGGCAAAGAAGAUUGUUUCAAAACAGAGAGUUGUGCUUUCGAAGUUAUUUGUAAAGGUAAUUCA